rnacentral:rRNA from 1 species
UACAGAGGUCCCAAGCGUUGCUCGGAAUCACUGGGCGUAAAGGGUGCGUAGGCGGGUCUUUAAGUCAGGGGUGAAAUCCUGGAGCUCAACUCCAGAACUGCCUUUGAUACUGAAGAUCUUGAGUUCGGGAGAGGUGAGUGGAACUGCGAGUGUAGAGGUGAAAAUUCGUAGAUAUUCGCAAGAACACCAGUGGCGAAGGCGGCUCACUGGCCCGAUACUGACGCUGAGGCACGAAAGCGUGGGGAGCAAACAGG